CCUACGGGCGGCAGCAGUGGGGAAUAUUGGACAAUGGGGGGAACCCUGAUCCAGCCAUGCCGCGUGUGUGAAGAAGGCCCUCGGGUUGUAAAGCACUUUCAGUGAGGAAGAACGCCUGGUGGUUAAUACCCAUCAGGAAAGACAUCACUCACAGAAGAAGCACCGGCUAACUCCGUGCCAGCAGCCGCGGUAAUACGGAGGGUGCGAGCGUUAAUCGGAAUUACUGGGCGUAAAGCGCGCGUAGGUGGCUUGAUAAGCCGGUUGUGAAAGCCCCGGGCUCAACCUGGGAACGGCAUCCGGAACUGUCAAGCUAGAGUGCAGGAGAGGAAGGUAGAAUUCCCGGUGUAGCGGUGAAAUGCGUAGAGAUCGGGAGGAAUACCAGUGGCGAAGGCGGCCUUCUGGACUGACACUGCCACUGAGGUGCGAAACCGUGGGUAGCAAACAGGAUUAGAUACCCCGGUAGUC
rnacentral:rRNA from 1 species